AGAAAUUGCUGUGUGGUGAGAUACCUGCAAAAUGCCUCCUGGAUAUUUACUAGACAGAGAGACAGUGGGAGAGAAUGGAAACUGUCAUUUGACCCAAGUAGGGCGUCAGACUUCAGUCAGUGCUGCCAUCUGCUGGAUUGCAAGUGUCCUGGGACAGGUGAGGGAGUGAGUGGAAGCUGGUGGAGCUACUUAGGGAGGACAUCAAAAUCCAGAGAGAGACAGAGGACAGAAGAGCACAGGAGAGCAGGGAGAGAAUGGAGAGACUGUUUUCUGUUUUCUUGUUUUCUUGAGAGAAUGCUUAACAAAUACAUUAUUUAUUAGCCAUUAUUAUGUAAGAGAAAGCAGUGGAAAAAAACGUGUACAUUACAGUUUUUCAAUAUCUUUUUUUAAAUGUCACAUUUUCAAUGAAACAACCUAAUUUCUGUAGUUUAUUUUUGUGAUGCAAGUUAAAAGUGAAAUGAAUAAGUUGUAUACAUUAUUCAUUUUUGUAGUGUAAUUUAUUUGUAAAUGAGAAAGUACAUUUUGUAUUUUUGUUUUGCAAAAGUAGUCAUGUACAUUGUUUAAUUUUUUUAUGCAGCUUAUACUUUUUACACAAAACUUUCUUGUAUAUGUUUAUUUUUUGUCCUGUAAUUUUUUUACAAAUUAAAACAAAUUGUUCUCAUUGGAUCAUGUUUGAUGGCGAUAGGAUCACCCUUUGAUGGCGAUGCAUGCAUAAUCCUUCACUCUGCUCACUUUAUCAAAUAUUCUAUAAUCCUGAUAGUAAAUUUCGAACCACUCUCUAUCUAACUCAUCAUGAGUACUUCAAUGGUCAAGGACAAUUGGAAAAGAGAGAUUGAGCAAUCACCAAUAAAGAGAGGACCUCGACGGCGCCAUUGCUAACGGUAUCAAGCUAGCACUUAAAGAACAACAGAGUACUUUGGAUUUGGUUGUGGCCUCAACAGUAAAAGAUGCGAUAGACUCUGUACUGACCCCAGCAUUGUGUGACCUACAUAUGGACAUACAAGCGACCAACAAUUCUGUUAAAGAGCAGAACUUGAAAAGUUAGCUAGUGCGACAAAACAGACACAUGACCGGGGAGAUUCUGUUCAGGCAGCUGCACAUGAGGAUAGGAGCACAGUCAUGAACUUGAGAAAACAGCUAGAACAACUUACCAAUAAAAUGACAGACAUUGAGGACAGAAGCAGGAGAAACAACUUACCACUGGUGGGGUUACCAGAGGG
ensembl:lncRNA